GGAGAGGGAAGGCGAAGGCGGGCUGAGCCCGGCGCCGGGAGGAGUGGUCUAAACUCCACCGCGGCUUUCGCAUCGGAGACGUGUCUUUAGGAAGCAGAGAGGGUUCGAUUCUGGACUCCGCCCAUGACUCACUUCUCUUGUAAAGAAAGAGUUGUCCUUCCUGGUACUCCAGGUUUAUGGGAUGCAGGAUAAUGGAGCAUGCUCUAUCUGGGACAUUGCUAGUCUUAUGACAGAGGGAGAAGACAGCGAUGAGUUUUCGAAGAACUCCAGGAAGUGGCUGCAGAGCAAAGUAGGAUCCUGAUACUGAGCUCAAGUGAUUCAGAAUGAAAAGACCUUGGCACAGACCUGUUAAGGAAGCUCCAUAUAAGGGCCACCGGGGUUGGCUGAGUCAGAAUACCAGCCAUGUGGCAUGUCGCAUGGGGCAAGAGCUGUGCUGCCCAUGGGAGUCCAGAGAAGGAGCACACUAAGGACCAACACCAGCAUUUGCUCUAGGGGAAGCCUGCAGCUAUGUCAUGAGGACCCUCAACAGCCCUGUGCAGAGGACUAUGUGGCAUGAAAGAUACCUUCUGCCAACAACCAGCCCCAACUUGCCAAGCAUGUGAACAAGCUAAACUGAAAGCAGAUCUUCAGCCCCAAUCAAGCCUUCAGAUGACAGUAACCUCAGCCAAUAUACUGACUAUAACCUCAUAAAAGACCCUGAACCAGAACCCUCUAAGCCACUCUCAAACUCUACCCCACAUAAACUGUGA
rnacentral:lncRNA from 10 species